AAAGAAAAAGCCAUAUGAUCGUGUCAGUAGUUGGAGAAAAAGUAUUCGACUAAAUUCUACAGCUGUUCAGGAUAAAAGCUAUCAGGAGACUGGAAGAAGACCAGAACCUUCUCAACAGAUCAAAGACAUGUACUCCAUACUUCCAGGAAAAAUGCCUUAUAUGAAUGGAGAAGAUACAGCGCUUUCUCCCUAAGGACUCCAUCCAGAAUACUACAUUACAUUUGGUUGUCUCUGUAGGCUCCUCUUGGCUGUGACA
ensembl:lncRNA